GCGGGUGUGACGGAACUGGCAGACGUGCAUGACUUAGGAUCAUGUGCCGGGAGGCGUGGGGGUUCGAGUCCCUUCACCCGCACCA
rnacentral:tRNA from 2 species